ensembl:lncRNA
CUCUUUGGGCGAUUAAAGUUAAGUCACUAGCCACCCGUAGCUAGCAGGCUAACCCUGGUUAGCCAAGUGGAAAUUGUAAACAAUAUUAGAUCGUUUCUGCGCUGAGCUCCACACGACGAGUAAGGUGCUGCUCUCUCAAAGACUGAAUGAACCAGCAUUGCAGCCAUGGGUCACUGUGAGCAUCACAGGGAAGGUUGAAGUCGCCCACUGCAGCUGUAUGGCCGGAGUCGCAGAGAACUGCAGCCAUGUCGCUGCUCUUCUGUUUAAAGUAGAAGCAACAGUCUUGAUCGUGGCACAAGGACUGUUACAGAUGAACCUGCUUACUGGGUUUUGCUGGGUAAUGUGACCAAGAUACAGCCAGAGGUUGGCCAUAAGAUAGACUUCUCCUCUUCAGCUGCCCAAAAAAAGGCUCUUGAUCAAAACAUAAACAGACCAUCCGUAGUGACAAGUAAAAGAAGCCGUCCUCAAAAAAGUAAAAUCCCACCUGCUACUGUGGAGGAGUCUAGAUGUAUGCCUGUAGUGCACUGCCGUGUAAAUAAUUUGCAUUUACUGAAUAUGUACUGACUGAGUCCCACUGUUCAAAAGUUGAAUAAAGAAACAAACUAAUUUUUGCCUCUUUUUAUUUUAUUUUAUUAAAACCACCUUAUAGAGCAUCACAUCAGUAACAGUGUAGAAUCCAUGUCAUUUAUAGUUUACAAAUGACAAAAUGUUUACACCAAAUCAUGAGUGUUUACAUGAUAUCACCCACUACUAACAUUACUUUAUUUACUGUAUCUUUUGAAAAAAAUAACAGCACAAGACUUAAGAACAUUUAACAGGAGCAGGUUUCAUUCUUCCCUGGUUUUAUUAUCACACUGUUCACCAAACGCAGCAAACCUUCACCAUCUUAUCCAGGAGGGUCACCUCUUCACCCUCACAUGGAAGAAGUAAUCUGAUUGGCAUGGUGGUUUGUUUGAAGCAGGUCCCUCGUGUAGCGCUGGGACCCAGUCACGAUGUUUCAUCCAUUUCAUAGGCUGGUUUGCUGCAAUAAUGCCAAAUAAUUAGCAACUCUAUAAAUAGACGGUAGUUCUGCAAAAUCACUCAGUAGGAUGUUUGUUCUAAUUUGCUAUGAGCUCAGAGUGCAUUG